UGGGGACUUGCCAUUCAAAAUGCCACAAUUUUAGGGAAAAAGCAACGUGGUGCCUUCUAGAAAUAACCCCCAAACGCAUACGGUUUGUGCAGGAUUUUGAAUGGGUUGUGCCAGCCUGAACUUUUGGGACUCCUUGUGCCUUCAUGCUGCUCUGCUUGGCAAUCCCAGCAUGGAGCCAUGUGGGGACCAUGAGGGGACACCCAGCUGUCUCCGUGUCCCUUUGCCUCAUGUGUCACUGCCAAAAACACUCCACAGGAUCAGGUUUUUGCAGGAGGGCAAUGGGGAGGAGGGAGCUGGCUGCAGAGCUGCGUGUUCUCCCCAUCAUUGGAGUUUCUGCCCCUCCUGGUACCCUGUCCUUCCAGGGGCAACUGGCACAGGGCAGCCCUGGGCAUGUGGCAUGAGUGCUGCCGGAGCUGGGCUAUGCUCCAGCAGUGCCUCAGUUUCCCUUUAUACCCAAUGGCAGACCCUGUGCUCUCCACAGCAAUACUGCAGACAGACGUUUGGUUUUGUAGGGGGGAUUUCGAGGCCAUUCUCUUAGCAGCAAAGCACUCAACCAACUGCCUCCAACUCCCCCAUCCUCUGCAGCCUCCGGUUUCCUCCCCGCAGAGCAGCCGUCGGGAUGUGCGCUCAUACCCACAGUGGAUGUGCAGCAGCUGUGGGAUGCAGUGCUGCCCCACACACCGCUCCCCCCAUUUCCUCUGCAGUAGCUGCUCGGGAUAAGCUUGCAUGUCGCUGAGCUUUUCCUCGUGUGUUAACUAUUGCUGAGACAAUUACGUUAAAAUCACACCACCUGCAAGCGGUUAGUUAGAAUAAUAAAUAAGUGAUAGAUUAUCAAAUAAAGCGUUCGCUUCGGAUGAGGUCAUCCCAGCACCAUGUCGCGGGUCUCGGCGGGUUUGCAGCCUGCUUUCCUGCCGCCAAUCGGCCAAAUCGCUCUUGUAUCAGUCAAUAAAAGUGUUGUAGAGAUUAAAGAAUCAAUUAGGCAUUAGCCAAAGGGGCAAAAGCAUAACCCAAACAUGCUGAUAAAAUCCAGUAGGUGAUUAUGGGAAUGGUUCCUAUUUCAUUUUACUUUAGAAGGAAAUAAUUGCUCGUUACCGAGCACGGAGCAGCCGGGCCGGGUGCUUUUCCAGCUUUAUGGAAAGCAGGAGGAAGCCCUGGUGCUGGGCUGACAGACGCAGAGGCACGCCACGCUUUAGGGCUGAAUGUGCAUGUUUUGCUGCUUGCUUUGAGGAGAGCCAUUUUAGCCCCGAAAGGGGACAGGGGAGCUGAGUCUGUCAUAUGGUGCAGCCUGGGGAGCUCGGUGCCACAGCCAGGCAUUGCCCGCUCAAGGCAGAGGGCCCAGGCACAUGUUUGCAGAUGGAUUUAAGGAGCCCAAGCAUGCGGGCUGCUGCCAGCAGCUGCAACCUACAAUGCACAGGAGCAAAUAGAUCUGUACGCACUAUGCCUGGCCAAUAUCUGCUCUUUGUAAAUGCACAAACUUUGAUUAACCAAGCAAAAUCCAGUCAGCUGAAAAAGCAUUUAGGGAUGUAUAUGCUUAACUUCUUCCCGGUAUUUCUGGUGGCAGUACAUCUGGGCAGCUGCCUUGCAGUGAGAAUCAGGCCGGUUUGCAGUGGGGCUGUGCAAUGUCACAUUUUGCUAACUCGUGCUAACAUUUAUUAAGUGGUAGCCUGCCACAAAGCCUUACCUCAUUUCGGGUCUCUGCAUGCUGGCCAAACACAGGGAGGGAAGAAAAGGUGUGGGCUCGACCAGCUCAUUCCCUCAGCACAGGUGAGCAUAGGGACAGCCAGAGGUGGCUGUUCUGAAGUCAUGGGAAGGGGCUAAGUGGGAACCUGAGGUCUCCACGCUGCAGCUUUUGACCCAAUUUUGCUGCCAAGAGAGGAUGUUCAGGUUGGAUAGUUGGAACAGUUUCUUCUUGUCACCAUCCCUGGAGGUGCUCAAGGACCAUGGAGAUGUGGCACUUGGGGACAUGGUCAGUGGGCGUGGUGGGAUGGGUUGGGGUUGGGCUUGAGGAUCUCAGAGGUCUUUCCCAACCUGAAUGGUUCUGUGAUUCUAUGAAAGAUGCUAACGAUUAUUAUAGUGCUGAAAUACUGAAGGAGGUAGAUAGGCUUUGGAAACAAAAGGCAAAUCAGUAAGUGUUCUCUUCCCUUGGAAUAAAGUCGAUGUAAAAGGCUGAGAUGGUUUUGCAAAGCACUAAAUUCUGAGGUGGCAGAAUGAGUUUAAAUGACUUCAGUCUGAGAUGAUUUUGCAAGGUGCAGCCCAUCACACCCUUAGCUGUGCUGCAGCCACCCAGUGCUGCCCGGGUGCAGGUUUUCUGCCCUGGAUGCACAGUGUGGGACCUCCUGGUCUGGAUGGGAGGGCUGAAUGCUGCUGGGCAGCCUGGCAGGUGGGGGCAGCUCAUUGUCCCCCUCCCCAUGGGAAACUGGGAGUUGCUCCCAGUCUAGCUUAGUAAUUAGGCAAGUUCUGAGCUUUACUGUUCAAGCAGGUUUUUCUCCAAAAAGUAUCUUGCUGGGAGGGCAUUUUCUGCAGCAUUUCCAACACAGACCUGCUUAUAGGCAAUGCAAGUUUGCUUCUUGACUUGGAACCAGAGGCUGAGAACCAGCACCAAAAAAGCCAGAACUGAAGCCGGGAGGAUGAGAAGCUGUCACUUUCUCUCAUUGGAGAAGUGUGAGCACUGGGAGCCGCACGAGAGGUGUGAGCCCAGAACAGAGCCCGCCGUGCUGCAGUGGACACGGGGUGGCACCACUGGACCCUGCGGUGGAUAUCGGGUGGGAUGGGACACGGUCCCUCCCCAGCAGGAGGAGGUCGGUGUCAUCCAAGGUCAAGCAUUUGUGCGUUAGGAGAACUAUUGCCAGAGCUCAGAGCUCUAAAAUCCUUUCUAAGUGAAGAGCAGCGUCCUCGAGGGCCGGACUUAAAAAAGAAAGCCUGAACUGCAGUCUCCCAGAAACUCUUGCCAUUGGCUGGGUUUUCACAUAAGUGUUAAUCUUCCUUCUUUAUACUCUUUCUCGGGCUCGGAAAGGCUGUGCUGGGAAGAAUUCUGUGCUUUCCUCCUGGAGAUGCAGCAGGACGGAGGGGCCGUGGUGGUCCUGUAAGUGAGGUCAGACCUCGAUCUGUGAGCUGGGGGACAUGCAGUGCUCUGGGGGAGCCUUCUCCUUCUGUUCAUAGGAAAUCUUUCUGAAGAGUUGGUUUUCUGUGAUCUAAACAGAGAAAAAGUGGGAUAUAUUUUCUUCAACAAAUAGCAGUGAGCAGGAAUGGCAUACCCAGCUCACAGCUGCCCAGUGCUGCGGUCUCCUGCACGUCCCUCCAAAGCACCCUUCUGCUGUAUGAAGAUGGAUCCUGGGCCACAGCCCUGCGGACAUACAGCUCUCCCAGCAGUUUUAUGACUCCUUUUAACUCAUUUUGGAGUUGAGAACCACGGAAUCAUAGAAUGGUUUGAGUUGGAAGGGACCUUUAAAGGGCAUCUGAUCCAACUCCCGGCAAUUAAACCAUUAUAGGAUGAACUCUCCCUACAAGAGCUUCAAUGAUGGAUGUCCAUGAGGCAUUGCUGCACUUUGCUUCCUAUCACUGCUGAACCACGUCCCGCAGCAAGCACCCGUGGUGCUGCUCUGCUUUAGCAUGUCCAUAUAUUUCACAGAGGCAGGAUGAAAGUCACAGUGAAGGGCCAGUGCACCUUCUACGCCCAAUACAAACCCAGUGAGACACUCUGUAUUUCUCCCUAGGAACAAUCUGGAUGGUUUUGGGGCAGCUGCCCGUUCUUGUACCCAUCCAGUAAAGCUGGGCAUUGGUCCCCAUCCUAUUGCCUUGGGCUAUGAGGUAAUGCGCUGCCUCGUGGAGCCACUGGCAUUUACCCAGGAAAAGAUGCAACAACCCAUGGAACAGCAUUGUAGAUGGAUUCAAGACCCUUCAUUGCUGGAGGUGUGUAGGAACAGCACAGCUAGAAGGAGGAAUGUCACUGCCAGGAUGCACAGCUCUGAAGAAGGGAUGCCCCUGCCCAUCCCAGCGCCAGCAGGAAUUUGGCUGGCAUCUGGCACCCUUGGACCUGAGUGCUGCUGGGACAUGCACAACCUGCAUAGUCAUCAGAAAGCAAAGCCUCGCCUUGGAGAGGUGUUAAACCAGGAGAGGUGUAAAACCAGAUCAGCUCUUCCAUGUAGCCCGGAGGAGGGCAGGGACUGGAUGGAGGCUUUGGUGAACUGACAGCAGAAGUGACAGUGGGGACAGUCUUCCAUCUGCACAGGGCAGCCAUUCCCUGUCAGACUCAGGCUGUAGUCUCCAGAUCUCCAUAGACACAUCGGCACCAGACCCUUGGCUAGGAUGGCUCACACGGAGCCCCCCUUUUCCCUUGGCCUGCAUCACCAGAAGAUGAAUGUCCCUGGAGGGAUUUGCUGUGUGCCAUGAAGUCACAGUGACUCCAGGUCUGCUGGAUCAAAGGAAAGGAGUGGGAGAGGUGUGAGCAUCUUUCCAUGACACGUUUCCACCCACCACAUUUCUCAAAGAGCCAUUUCGCCGUCCCCAUGUCUCAUCCUGACAGCCAGGUUUGUCUCUAAACCCAGUGGGUUUCCUUGAGUUUGAGUCCAUCUACCGAUCCCUUCUGGAUGCCAGAAUUGCCUCUUCCAGCCAAACUUCCCUGUUAAUUGUCCUCGGGAUUGGUUUGGAAAAUUGCAUAAGCCCUGGGUUAGGGCUGGCUGCAUCCCAUCCCAGAGCCUGAGGCUUCGUGGGGCAAGGACUAAAGAGCUGCGAAACGCAGAGAUAUAACAGAUGUUGACAUGUAGUGAAAAUACGAGACGCGGGAGCCUAAGAUAAUAAAUCUGAAAAAUUAACACGUAGGGGAACGAAAAAAGGAGCAAUAUGUUUUGGUAAUCAUUCUGAACUGCUGAACCCUUCUCCUGCAGUUCAAAAAUCUCUGGUAUUAAGCAGAUGUCAUUCAACC
ensembl:lncRNA